UUUUUCCAAAUCAUAGGGUGAGGUUCUGGGAAUAACCAGACAUGGCGUUCAGAAAAUGAAAGAUAGCGUACUGAUGUUAGCCUCAUUUGAGAAGACAACGGACCACCUGUUUAAUGCAUCUGUAAAUGGAAGGGAUGAUAAGAUAGAAGGAGUUAGUGAAUGCAUCAUCAUGGGCAUACCAAUGCAGAUAGGCACUGGGAUGUUUAAACUUCGGCAAUGGUAUGUGUUUGAUAUUUUGGCAUGAAAAUUUAAUCUUGAACCUUAACGUAUCUUAUAUGUGUGUUGUAAUUAUUUGAAUAAGCUAAUAAUCAGAAGCUCCAAAGGGAGAAAAUUGAUUAGUCUACACAACCUUUAAGGUCUUGUUGCUAGAUCAGAGAAAUAGUAUUCUGAGGAAUGGUUUCUUUUCAUAUAAUAAUCUAGUGUUGGCCUAUCUUUGCUUCUGCCUGAUGCAGAACGAGAAGGGAGAUGGGAUAAAUGGUAGAAAAUUAAAGAGAAGUGGGCGAACAAGAGAAGAAUAAGAUAAACCACAGAGAUUUCUAUCAUAGGGUUAAGUCAUUUUUUUGUGUGCAAGUUUCUGAAACAAAAUAAACAAAGUCUUAUUUAUAGAGUAGGGGGUCCUAAACAAGAUUUUCUAUUUUGUUCCAAUUACGUGCAGUUAUUGUAGUAGCUCCUAAAUCCUAGCUGCAUAAUAAAGUGACUUUUCUAGUGAAUCUCUAAAAUCCAAUGAAAUUCAAACGUCUGCUUUGGUAGGGUAAUUCCAGAAUAACUUGGUUAUUUUGGUCCCUACUUAUCAUAUUUUAUCCUUUAUUCCUGCCCUCUUCUCUUGUCAUUCUGGUGAAUGUCUUUAUAGUUUGAUGUUCUUCCUGCAGUCCAAGUUAACUAAUUCCUUGUUUCCCGGUGUUUUGUCUUUCCUUUGUCUAUGCCAGUGUUCAGCAGGUUGAGCUGAAUUAUCAAUCAGAGCCUAUGUUAUCCUAGGACUUCUAAAUGAAUUUGCUGCUUGUUUGCUUCUCCUAUUGCAUAUUAUGCAUCAAAAAAUGUUUUUACAGUUCCUAAUCUGGGAACUAUUCUUCAAAAUGCUUUAAUGGAUAGUGUAUUUACUUUUCUGCCCUUUUUCCUUCUGCUUAUUGUUUUCCUUCUAUUUUCAUGGGGCACCCAUUCUCGGGUUUGGGGGAGGACGGAAUUGGAAAAGCUGGAGCAUUGUCAGAUGUUAUUGGAUAUUAUUUAGGUGCGACCUUUCUUGAUUUAACCAUCUUACCUUUUUAUCUUCUUUGGCAGUGAAUUUACAGGUAGACGACUUGCAAUAUUUCUUCAUGUGGCGUGAUAUGCAGAUGCUAGCAUUGACCAUGCAACAUCAGGUGAAUUUAAAAGAAAUCGUGGAAGGAGGCAGUCUUACCAACACCUGGAAGAUUGGUAUCAUCAACCUUAUAAUGUAGAAAGUUACUUUGGCCCCUGUUGGUAAUCAUGUUUACGGGUGACACUGUUUUCAUCUUUAUUCAAGGCAAAAAGUAACGUGGAGUCCCUCCAGCCUGUGGUAACACAUCCUUAUGUUGCUCCAUGGUUGCUGAUGCAGAUUUUGUUAGUAUUUUUUAUGAUGCAUUUGCAAGAAGUCUUGUCAUAUUGAUAACUCAUAUUGGGAAUCUUCCCUCAGGAAAUUGUAGAAUAUUCUUUGGCCCGUGUUGGUAAUCAUGUUUACGGGUGACACUGUUUUCAUCUUUAUUUAAGGCAAAAAGUAACAUUGGGAGUCCCUCCUCCAGCCUGUGGUAACACAUCCUUAUGUUGCUCCAUGGUUGCCGAUGCAGAUUUUGUUAGUAAUUUUUAUGAUGCAUUUGCAAAAGGUCUUGGGAUAUUGGUAACUCAUAUUGGGUAUCUUCCCUCGGGGAAUUGCAGAAUAUCUAGCUAUCCAACCAUUUGUUAAAGGAAUAGGAGUAGUGUACAGUCUGUGAAGCAAUAGAAGCAAAUGAGGAAAUUUGAAUUAUAAUUUUCGGAAGAGGAAUUUAUGCUUUUGGCAAAAAUUUCCUAGUUUACGUUUAUUUAAAGUCAAGAUAGAAAAAUAACUUAUGAGAAAGGGAAUUGCACUUUUUUGUUUAUUUGGGGCAAGACUUUUCACAUGUUUGACGAGGUCAAUGACGUACCUGUCACUUUAAUAGAUGUGUUCUGGACCGCAAAAGGUUCCUUCUUUUUACAAUGUUAAGGUCAUGUAAAUUGAUUCUUUUGGCGUUCCAUAACUUAAACAUUGUUUUCUACAACAUUGCUAUUAGAGUGUGUUGUGUAGGAAUUUAG
rnacentral:lncRNA from 1 species